rnacentral:rRNA from 1 species
CCUACGGGAGGCUGCAGUGAGGAAUAUUGGUCAAUGGGCGCGAGCCUGAACCAGCCAAGUCGCGUGAGGGAUGAAGGUUCUAUGGAUCGUAAACCUCUUUUAUAAGGGAGUAAAGUGUGGGACGUGUCCUAUUUUGUAUGUACCUUAUGAAUAAGGAUCGGCUAACUCCGUGCCAGCAGCCGCGGUAAUACGGAGGAUCCGAGCGUUAUCCGGAUUUAUUGGGUUAAAGGGUGCGUAGGCGGGAUUUUCAGUUAACGGUGAAAGUCUGUGGGUCAAACCUAGAAGUGCCGUUGAAACUGGGGGGCUUGAGUAUGUUAGAGGCAGGCGGAAUGCGUGGUGUAGCGGUGAAAUGCUUAGAUAUCACGCAGAACUCCGAUUGCGAAGGCAGCAUACCGGCGCCCAACUGACGCUGAAGCACGAAAGCGUGGGUAUCGAACAGGAUUAGAUACCCGAGUAGUC